AGCGAACGCUGGCGGCAGACCUAACACAUGCAAGUCGAACGAACUCUUCGGAGUUAGUGGCGGACGGGUGAGUAACACGUGGGAACGUGCCUUUUGGUUCGGAAUAACUCAGGGAAACUUGUGCUAAUACCGAAUGUGCCCUUCGGGGGAAAGAUUUAUCGCCAUUAGAGCGGCCCGCGUCUGAUUAGCUAGUUGGUGAGGUAACGGCUCACCAAGGCGACGAUCAGUAGCUGGUCUGAGAGGAUGACCAGCCACACUGGGACUGAGACACGGCCCAGACUCCUACGGGAGGCAGCAGUGGGGAAUCUUGCGCAAUGGGCGAAAGCCUGACGCAGCCAUGCCGCGUGAAUGAUGAAGGUCUUAGGAUUGUAAAAUUCUUUCACCGGGGACGAUAAUGACGGUACCCGGAGAAGAAGCCCCGGCUAACUUCGUG
rnacentral:rRNA from 1 species